UACGUAGGGAGCAAGCGUUGUCCGGAAUCAUUGGGCGUAAAGCGCGCGUAGGUGGCCACAUAAGUCCGUUGUGAAAGUCAAAGGCUCAACCUUUGAAAGCCGAUGGAUACUGUGUGGCUAGAGUACGGAAGAGGCGAGUGGAAUUCCUGGUGUAGCGGUGGAAUGCGCAGAUAUCAGGAGGAACACCAAUAGCGAAGGCAGCUAGCUGGGACGUUACUGACACUGAGGCGCGAAAGCGUGGGGAGCGAACAGG
rnacentral:rRNA from 1 species